GCUCAUAAGAAAGAAGCAUUAAGUGGUUUGAUGCGGUUGGCUUGAAACCAGCAUGUGAGGGUUCGAUUCCUUCCUUUCUUG
rnacentral:tRNA from 1 species